rnacentral:rRNA from 1 species
GGGUCAGUAGGUUGGUCGUGCCACCGGUACGUACUGGUCUCACCGAUUCCUCCUUCCUGAAGAACCGUAAUGCCAUUAAUUUGGUGUUGCGGGGAAACAGGACUGUUACUUUGAAAAAAUUAGAGUGUUUAAAGCAAGCUAACGCUUGAAUACAUUAGCAUGGAAUAAUGAAAUAGGACGAUCGAUCCUAUUUUGCUGGUUUCUAGGAUUGACGUA